UCCGCAGUCAGUGCGCAUGCGCGUAGCUCGGCUUAAAGGAGCCGCGCUGGGAACACUGCGGUCGGGGCGAGGAAGCUGCCGGGGAAGUGAGAUGACGGUCGCGGGGGUGCCCAGGAGCCCUGAAAAACUUGUGCCCUGGGCACGGCAAAAUCUGCAGGUUGCAGAAAGUCUCAACUGAUCCUGGCAUACCCCGAGGUGCCGACUUUUAGAGCUGAAGAUGCAAGAAAGAUUGGGAUCCUGCGAUGCACCGAACCUGUCUCUCGAAGUGUGUGCGCCCUGCUUCCUGUGUUAAACAAUUUGCUACAAGGUCACACAAUUUUAACUAGAAGACUGAGAUGUGAACCUGGGUGGUCUGAUGUGAACACCACUGUCUGGCAGGGUCUUGCCCUGUUGUCUAGGCUGGAGUGCAGUGAUGCAAUCACAACUUACUGCAGCCUCGAGCUCCAGAGCUCAAGUGAUCCUCUCGCCUCAGUCUGUAGGACUACAGGCACACGCCACUACCCCCAGCUAAUUUUUUGUAGAGAUGGGGUUUUGCCAUGUUGCCCAAGCUGGUCACAAACUCCUGAGCUCACGCGAUCCUCCCGCCUUGGCCUUCCAAAGUGCUGGGAUUACAGAGCCGCCGUACCUGUCCCACAGUCAUUUUCUUAAGGAUAAAUUGUUUCAUCUUACUUUGUCCCACAUUUAUAGAAAGUAACAUAGACAACCAUCUUAGAAAUAUCAACAAUUGAGCAAGCACUCUAAGAAUGGCUAAUAAACAUGUAGAAACAUGCUCAACUUUAUUAAUAAUCAGGGAAAUUCAAAUUAAGAUUAUAACAUCAUUUUAUAAUUACUAAAUUGGGGGAAAAUUUUAAAUCUGACAAUAUCAAAUGAGAAACAAUAAACAUACAGCAGCUAGGCAUGUAGUUUGUACAAUCACAUUGGAAAACAAUCUCGUAUUAUCUAGAGUAAACUUGAAGAUAAACAUAACCCCUGUUUCAACAAUUCAACUUUUAGGUAUUUAUCCUAAGCCUACUAAUCAAAGUGUAGUUGGCUAACCAAUAGCAUUUGUAUCACCUGGAGCUUGUUAGAAAUGCAGAAUGGCAGGUUUACCCACAUUUACUGAAUUAGAAUCUGCUUGUUAACAAGAUCCCCGGUUGCUAUGAAUGCUCAUUAAUGUCUGAGAAGCGCUGUGCUAAAGAAACCCUAGAACAUGCACCAGGAGAAAUGAUCAAGAAUGUUCAUAACAGCACUGACGGUAAUAGCAAAUAACUAGAAAUAGCACAAAUAUCCACUCAGUAGAGAAUGGAUAAAUAAAUCAUGUCAGAAAAACUAGUUGCAGAAAGAUACAUACAGUUUAAUACCAUUUUUAUGAGACUCAAAAACAAGCAAAAGUAAAUAAUAUGUUACUAGGCAUCCAUCCAUAUAUGUAUAUGUGGUCAAUUCUAAAAUAAACAAAGGAAUGAAAAACACAAUUCAAGAUAACGCUUAUGAAGGGGAGAGGUAAAGGAAGGAGCAGACAGUGAUCUUCACUAACGGGAAAGAUUCUAUUUCUUUUUUUUUUAGUUUAAAAUGUAUUUUAUUUUUAGACAACCUACAUAAUGUGUUUUUCCAUAGGUUCUAUUUCUUAAAGUUGAGUGAUAGGUUCAAGGGUUUUUGUUAUAUUAUCAUGUGACAUAUGUAUUUGUUUUGUAUUGUUUUGAGAUGGAAUCUUGCUCUAUUGCCCAGGCUGGAGUGCAAUGGCACAAUCUUGGCUCACCACAACCUUCGCCUCCCAGAUUUAAGCAAUUCUCCUGCCUCAGCCUCCCGAGUAUCUGGGACUACAGGCGCAUGCCACCAUGCCUGGCUAAUUUUUGUAUUUUUAGUAGAGAUGGGGUUUCACUAUGUUGGCCAGGCUGGUCUCGAACUGCUGACCUCGUGAUCUACCCGCCUUCGCCUCCCAAUGUGCUGGGAUUACAGGCAUGAGCCACCACGUCCAGACUUAUGUAUUUGUUUUUAUUCAUAUGUUCAUUAUUGUCUCAUAUAACACAGUUUUAACAGCUUUAUUAUGGUGUACUUUACAUACCAUAAAAUUCACCUGUCUUAAGUGUAUAAUUCAAAGAUUUUUAGUAAAUGUACAGAAUUAUGCAAUCAUUGCCACAAAGUGGCAACAGAAAAUUUUCAUCACCACAAAAAAAAUCUCUCUUGCCUCUGCAAUCACUGCCCCUUCCACCUCUAGCCCCAGGCGAAUUUGUUUUCUAAUGCUAACCUUAUUAAUUAAUAAUACUAAUAUAAUCUUAUUAUAUAACUAAUAUAACUAAAACUAAUCUGUUUUUCAUCUCUAUAAAUCAACAUUUUCUGGACAUUUAAUUUAAAUGGAAUAAUGUAAUAUGUGAUCUUUUGUGCUUGUAUUCUUUUACUUAGCAUAAUAUUUUUUUGACAUUCAUCCAUGUCAUAGCAAUUAUCGCUAAUUCAGUCAUUUUUAAGGAUGAAUAAUAUUUCAGAAUAUGGAUGUACCACAUUUUGUUUAUUCACCUGUUAAUGGACAUCUGGGCUGUUUCUAGAUUUUGGCUGUUAUGCUGUUAUGAUUAUUCCUAUUCAAGUCUUUGUGUGAACACUGUUGUCAUUUCUCUUAUGUAGCUAUCCAGGAGUGGAAUUGGUGGGUCAUAACUGGCCAUUUUUAAAUCUAAAAAAAGAGAAGAAAUGGGGUCUU
ensembl:lncRNA RTCA-AS1 RTCA antisense RNA 1